rnacentral:rRNA from 1 species
UUAAAAAGCUCGUAGUUGGAUUUCGGAGUGGGCCAGUUGGUCCACCGCAAGUGUGUUACUGACUGGUCUGCUCUUCUCCCCAAAGACUGCGUGUGCUCUUUGUUGAGUGUGCGUAGGAUUUACGACGUUUACUUUGAAAAAAUUAGAGUGUUCAAAGCAGGCUAUUGCUUGAAUACAUGAGCAUGGAAUAAUGGAAUAGGACUUUGGUCCCAUUUUGUUGGUUUCUAGGACCGAAGUAAUGAUUAAGAGGGACAAUUGGGGGCAUCCGUAUUUCGUUGUCAGAGGUGAAAUUCUUGGAUUUACGAAAGACGAACAACUGCGAAAGCACUUGCCAAGAGUGUUUUCAUUAAUCAAGAACGAAAGUUAGAGGAUCGAAGACGAUCAGAUACCGUCCUAGUUCUAACCAUAAACGAUGUCGACUAGGGAUCAG